rnacentral:lncRNA from 1 species
GGAGCCCUUUUCCCCACCGACUGUGGGCGCUUCAGCGCUCAAUCCUUGCCUAUCAAAGAAUGGUGUUAUAUCACGAAUGGAAAAAACAAAACAAAACCAUGAAUGGACGUGAAAAGGGGAUGACCCUUUGUAAGCUCUUGGACGCCUGUGGCCACUCUGUCCAUCCAUUUGCAGCACCGCAGGAAGUGAAUCUCUGCACUCCGCGCCGCCGCCCGCCGUUCCUUCCCUCCCGCGGAGCCAAGUGGUAUUCAGGAUGAAUCGGAGCGAGCCCUAACCUUAACCUCUCCUGCCACCACCACUCUAUAUAGCCUUUGGCGUGGCUUUCCAUCGAACUCGGCAAAUUUUGCAAAGUGGGGGGAGGGUUUUUUAAAAAUUGCAUUUGCAAAAGUUCG